GACGAACGCUGGCGGCGUGCUUAACACAUGCAAGUCGAGCGGAAAGGCCCUUCGGGGUACUCGAGCGGCGAACGGGUGAGUAACACGUGAGUAACCUGCCCCAGACUUUGGGAUAACCCUCGGAAACGGGGGCUAAUACCGGAUACGACACAGCUUCGCAUGGGGUCUGUGUGGAAAGUUUUUCGGUUUGGGAUGGGCUCGCGGCCUAUCAGCUUGUUGGUGGGGUGAUGGCCUACCAAGGCGACGACGGGUAGCCGGCCUGAGAGGGCGACCGGCCACACGGGGCUGGAGACAGGGCCGAGCCUCUGGGGGGGGGGGGGGGGGGGAAUUUUGGCAGAGGGGGGGGAGGCUGGAGGCAGCGGGGCGGGGGGGGGGAGGCGGGCUUGGGGUUGUAAACCCUGUGCCGGGGGGGAAGAAGGGAAAGUGGGGGACCCUGAAGAAGAGGGCCCGGCAACCUAGGUC
rnacentral:rRNA from 1 species